rnacentral:tRNA from 1 species
GCCGGCGUAGCUCAGUUUGGUAGAGCAACUGAUUCGUAAUCAGUAGGUCGGACGUUCAAAUCGUCUCGCCGGCA